UACGUAGGGGGCUAGCGUUGUCCGGAAUCAUUGGGCGUAAAGCGCGCGUAGGCGGUCAGGUAAGUCCGGUGUGAAAGUCAAAGGCUCAACCUUUGAAUGCCGCUGGAUACUGCCUGACUUGAGUCCGGAAGGGGCGAGUGGAAUUCCUGGUGUAGCGGUGAAAUGCGCAGAUAUCAGGAGGAACACCAAUGGCGAAGGCAGCUCGCUGGAGCGGUACUGACGCUGAGGCGCGAAAGCGUGGGGAGCGAACAGG
rnacentral:rRNA from 1 species